AGAACGUGAGGCCUCCGAAGUUAAGAAUAAUUAAUUUUAAUCACGUUAUCUAUUAAAAUAUUUGCCAUGGAGUAUACUUAAUUUAUUUUAUCGACACAGUUUAUUCCGGGAAAGACUGUACGCGAUCAACAGUAUCUUAGAAUAUUUGAUAUCUAACACGUGGUUCUUUCUUUUUCUCUCUCUUUUAUACUUCGGCCUAAAAUUAGAUCUUUAAGCAGCGGCACAAAUUUAAUAUUUUUGAAAAGAUCUGAGAUUAUCUUACCAAUUAUUUUAUUGCUACGGCAUCCUAGAAUUGGAACUAGCAGCGAUAAGAAUUUAGUUUUAUUCCGUCUAUUGUAGCAUCCUCUCUCUCUCUCUCCGAAUUUAUCAUUUGCUUGUUUUAUGCAGUAUAAACUAAGGAGUUGCAGAGCCUAUCGCGCGCUAUUAUGUUUAUUGCGAAGCAAUGAAAACGUGGAAUGGUACGGCAUCUAUACUUUACUAUUGGUUUUGUCAUUUUUACAUUCAGAAUAUAAAAGUUUUAUAUAUCGUCGGCGAUACUGUUCGCUCUUACAUGCAUCCCAUUCUGUGUCAAGUUUCUGGAGGUGAAGACUUGUGUUUGCAGUUCCACUUUAGCAUCAUCUCGAGUACUGCGACAACACUCAGCGACUGUGUCAACCAAACCUUCCUUGUCUCCUAAUGUCACUUGGGAUAAAUCACGUGAUGCCACUUUACCGAUAGCAAAGGAAUUUUUAAGAUGGCAAAGACAGUUUAAUUGCGACUAAAACUCUCUCGCAGGUCCAAAUUUUCCGAUUUAAAAUGUAUUGUUUGCAUCAAUUUUGAAUGGCAUCCUACUUGGAUAAAGGAUAGAUUCUAAGUCAAUUGAUAAUUAUAUUUUUAGCCCAAUAGUUAGC
rnacentral:lncRNA from 1 species